UCAGCAUCACCUGGGAAUUGGUUAGAAGUUCAAUUUUUUUGCUGUGGACAUGACCACACAACAUUUUCCCACUAGGUUUUCUUUCUGCUACAUUGCUAGCAUUCAGCCUAUUUGAAACAGUU